ensembl:lncRNA
UUCACUUUCACAUAUACAUGCAUCGAUGCUCCACAUUCCAGUUCAGAUGGUGGCGGUAAUGCACUAAUAAGCUAGUCUGCCAACCGCCAAUAAACGGAAAGAAGAAGAAGGAGAAGUCGCUUUGUGGGAGGCAUGUUUGAGUAAGUAAAACUCCUAUCUGCUUUAGUUUCAGGUUGAAGGCAGUGAAUGAGGAUCGUGUUUCACAUCAUAAAUCAUAAACUCACUGAUCCUCAAACACACAUCUGAUGUGCCUGAAUCUGGAUCAUAUUCUGUUACAGAAACAGAGUUAUUAUGACACAAACAGCUUCAUGAAGAAACCGGUUUUAGAGAAGAAGAAAGAGCGAUGCAUGGGUUUGAGAUGAGUUAUAUGAUGUACAAUGUUUAUAAUGAUCGAAAGGUCAACAUGAGAGUUUUACCAAAUAAAUAAUGUUCACAGCAUCGUCAUGUAAACUAAACAUGUUUUAGUAACAGCGAUCACUGCUGAUGGGGAUCUUUAUAAUGAGAGAGACCAGUUUGCUGUUGUCACGGUUGGUAAACCGUGAUCUCUGGGUGUUUGCACUUUGUGGUGAAGUCUGUGUGUUUCGCGUCUGCACUGAUUAGUUUGUGGGCGUCUCCGUUAAUUGUCAUCAGCAGCAGCUGUCACUCAUUACUCAUUCUAUAUAUAUUGGCUUGUCUCACGUCUUGUGUUUGUGAGAUCGUUGUUUUAUGUUGCUUACCCUGUUUGUUUGGCUUCAGUGUUGUCUGCGUUUGGAUGUUCGUGUUUUCCCGGAACCUCAUCCACUCUACGCACUUCCACUCAGCCACAAAUACUUACUUUCGGCUCUAUUCCCCGCAGUUCCUGUGCCAUCCUCUCCUGCUGCCUUCUCACCUUCAUCAUCCGGAUUCCUCACCACCUCACCACCAUCUUGGAUUGUUGUCUUCCCAGCAUCAUUGUCUUUUUCCUGUUUGUUUAUUUAUUUUCAUUAAAUCGUCUAACUCGCUAUUGUUUCCAGUCCUUCCUUCACCCCACCAUCACAGCUGUAACGAGACAGACUUUAUCUAAUAUCUCAUCACUUAAGAACAGUGCUACACUGGAUAAUGUGACUUUCUUUGAUGGUGUAGAAAGGGGAACUAUCUCUGCCUCAACUACUGUGAUGAGCAAUAACAGCAGCGUUAUUCAUCCUAGAAGCAAACCGUAUUUCAUGCCCAGAUACAUAGGCCCACACAUACUGUCAGGCUGGUCACAGUGUCAGGUUGAUAAACUCAUUCUGGAACUCAGACGUUUCUUCUCUUUUUUAGCUCAACACAAGAUAAUGAAAAAAACUAAAAGAAAUUCAUUCAUGGGAGAAGAUCUGUGGAGCAUCACAAACCGAAGGAGAAUUAAACGAAGAGAAAAAGAAAAAUGCCAAACAAAGAGAGCAAGAGACAAUCUACUGAACCAGGAGAGAAACAGACACAGAGACUAACCAGAACAAACAGCAUCAAAAGUGGAAAACCAAACUGUGAGUGUUUAUGAUAUUUAAUAUAAAACAAUAUAACAUGUCUUUCAUCAAUACAUAAUCUACAAUAGCUUUAAUAUUUAUCCACUAUAUAAAAACUACAAGGAUAAUCAGAUGAUUGUGUUUUUAAAGUCUAGUUUCUGAUGAUCCAGACAGUUUUAUUCAGAGAGACUCUCAGACGAGGUGAGAUUCUCACUGAUCACACACACACACACACACACACACACACACACACACACACACACACACUAAUAACACUCAGUCCUUACACUGACAGUGUGUGUACUGUAUUAUACUGACAGUUACUGUAUGUGUGUGUUAUAGUUCUGAGAGUGUUUUCUCUUCAGACAGGAGCAGCUUCUUUCACCGGACCAGCAGAAUAUACUUUAUAUUCACUGAUUACAGUUUUUUACAAUCAUUUUGCAAUAAUAACAGAACCAUCUUGUAAUUUUUCAAAAGACACAAAACAUUAUUUGUAACACAGGCUGCCCAUUAUCCAAAACUUUACAUAUUGUGUUCAUAUCUUUAAAGAAGCCUUUUAUUUGCAGAAGAAAAAAAAUAAAUAAAUUGUUUUGGUUAGAUACCCAUAGUUUCACUGUAUUUGUUAUUACAAUCAUUAAAUAGAGUUGAAAAAAAUAUGUGAUCCAGGUUUCAUUAUUGUACUGUAGAUUAGGGAGAAUAGUACAGACACAGUGGUAUCAUUGAAUUACUGUAAUGUGAAAUUUACAGAUGAAAUAAAAAAUCACAACAUAGGUUUUCCAAAUUAAAAAAAAAUUGAUAAAAAAGAAAAAAAAACAAUAAUGUACUGUAAACUUAAGUGUUCCAUUAGAGGAUGAUGAAACUGAACAUUAUCCCAAACUAUUACGUAGGUCACACCAUCAGCUCUACAGAUCUGAUUUAGCUCCUCAGGGAAGGCUAUGAGGUGAGCUGCAUUAUAUGACCCAACACGAGGUCUGCGUCCAGCCACUCCAUCUUCUGAUAUAACUGCACACAUGGUGACCUCUCCUCCACGUCUUGGCCAGAUUAAAGCCUGCCUUAUCCAAAAAUAUGAAUUUGUGAUGGUUUUCCUCAGCAUCCAGCUCCAUCACCCUCUAAAAAGACAAAGAUAUGUCAUCACCUUUAUUUAUAUAGCACUUUUAACAGUACAGAUUGAGUUAAAGCAACUGUACAGCAUUAAUUAGGAAAAUAGUGUGUCAAAAAUGCAGAAGGACAAUAGAAAACACUAAUUUUUCAGUUAAAGGCAGUUCAUCUUUGAAUUCAGUGAUGUCAUCAUGCAGCUCAGUUCAGUUUAAAUAGUAUCUGUGCAAUCAUUUGCAAUCAAGUCAAUGAUAUCGCUGUAAAUAAAGUGUCCCCAACUAAGCAAGCCAGAGGCGACAGCAGCAAGGAACCAAAACUCCAUCAGUGACAGAAUGAAGAAAAAAACCUUGGGAGAAACCAGGCUCAGUCGGGGGCAGUUCUCCUCUGACCAGACGAAACCAGCAGUUCAAUUCCAGGCUGCAGCAAAGUCAGAUUGUGCAGAAGAAUCAUCUGUUUCCUGUGGUCUUGUCCCGGUGGUCGUCUGAGACAAGGUCUUUACAGGGGAUCUGUCUCUGGGGCUCAUCUAGUUGUCCUGGUCUCCGCUGUCUUUCAGGGCUCUAGAGGUCCUUUCUAGGUGCUGAUCCACCAUCUGGGCUGGAUACAUACUGGAUCCGGGUGACUGCAGUGACCCUCUGACCUGGAUACAGACUGGAUCUGGUGGCUACGGUGACCUCGGAAUAAGAGAGAAACAGACUAAUAUUAGCGUAGAUGCCAUUCUUCUAACGAUGUAGCAAGUACAUCGGGUGUUAUGGGACGUGUUCCCGGUUCCAGUUGUAAUAAUUAAUUCAGCCUAAAAAUCCUUUAACCACGUUCCUGGAGGCCUCCCACCACUGCAGGUUUUCUAUGUCUCCUUAAUCAAACACACCUGAUUCAGAUCAUCAGCUCAUUAAUAGAGAAUCCAAUCAGUUUUCAUAAAAGCUGUGCAUCGAGAGUAAUGCAACAGUUACUCAACAUUUUCAGCAACUGUAUCAAUUGAUUAGUUAGAUCUUUGUAAAGAAAUGAAUAGACACUCCACUUAGAUGUAAUUUGUAAAUGAGUUACAUUAGCCUACAUUACAAAUUACAAAUUACAUUACAAAUGAUAUUUGGCUUAAAUGUAUCCAAGCAUUUGAAAAAAAGUGUUAAGUGUUUUGAAAAAUGUGCAUUUUAAUCAUUGGUUGUGAAUUAUGUGUCUAAAGUUUUAAAAAAUGACAUGAAGGUUCUGUUAUUAGUGCAAACAUGAUUGUAAAAAAACCUGUAAGCAUUGUAUAUUUUAUAUUGUUUAUAUUUUAUUGUUAUUAUAUAAUAAGAAAUUUUAGACCUGUAUAAUCAAGCCCUAUCAGUUUUAUUCACUGUAAAAAAUAUAUAUAUAUUUUUCAAUGUUGUCACAUGGGCUUUUGUGUUUGUUUUAAUUUGUGUUUUUUGACCUAGUUUCUGUCUUCCAUUAAUUGUGUCAUUAUUCAGGUGUGUCUUGUCAAUUAUCCUCAUUUACUCUCCCAUAUAACUUGUAGUCAGUCCAGUGUUUCUUUUUGCGGAAGUGAUGCAAAGUCCGAUUCUUUUCCGCGAACCGGUUCUUUUUUGAACAGAUCGGCUCAUUGAACCGGUUCAAAAAGCAGAUUCAUCGGUUCCUAACGUCAUCAAGCAAUAACGUCACUACGCAUUUCUUUUCUAACAUCUUUUAGUGCCAUGUUGUAUCAAUGAAAAUUUCAAAUACGUAAUUUGUGUAAACACAUAUUGAAACAUUUAAAAAUAUAAAGUUAUUUGUGUUAAAGCAUAAUGCUGAUUGAUGCCAUAAUUCAUGGUGUUUGUGGUCACAGUUUCAUUCGCGGAUCCUUUGUCAGAUAUGACUGACUGACCAGUAUUGACUAGCCUACGACUUGGAUAUGAUUCCUAUAAGUUUCACACCUACAGCACACAUUACAGAUUCACAAACGCGGAUACAUGUCUACAGUAUAAAGAAUGAAUAAACCAGUCUUAUAAACUCCUUGAUUUCGCUGAAGCAACUAUAUACUAUAUAUAAUAUAUAUAAUACAAUACUAUAUAUAAUAUACAUGCACAAUAAACUAUUGUAAAAUUUAUUUACAUCACUCAACAGAAAGGUCAUAAUAAGCAUAUUUCCAGACUUGCACAGUGCCGUCAACUCACUCAUCAGAAUCUUCGGUAAUCCUCGGCAAACUUCGCCACGGCUCAUUCGGUUCUUAUUGAGUCCUCGGUAAUCCUCGGCAAACUUCGACAGUUGGUUGAACCGGCUCAUUCGGUUUUUUGAAUUGGACGUGCUACUUCGGAUGUGUGUCCUGUGUCAUCAACCCGGAACUAAAGUUCGAUUCAGUUCGAAUGAGAUCCGGCUCAAAAGAACGAUUCGUUCAAGAACCGAACAUCACUAUUGUGCGGUCUCCUCAACAUGACUUCCUGUUCUGUCUCCUCAACGUGACUUCCUGUUGUGGAUUACCUUGUGUGGAUAAUAUUAAAGACUUUUUCGUUCAUUUUCAUGCGAAUUCAUUCUACACAGAAUCGUGACAUUAAUAUAACAAAUUAUUGAAGUGCAUUUAGCCUACAAGAAAAUACUAUUUCAGUUUCUUUAAUUUUUCACAAUGUCAUGUUUAAUUUACCUUUUUUCAGUUAUUUCUGAAAUAAACUAGAAAUUUCUGAGUGAAAAUUGUUCUACUCUAAUUGUUUUUCAGUGCAGAUAUGACUGACAGUAGCUUAUAAAAUAAAUGUGUAAAAAUGGGUUUUGUGUUUUCUGAAAUAAUCUUAUUGCUGAUAUCAUAGCUUUUUACUCUACAAUGCAAUACAAUACAAACAAAACAAAGCUUCUUUCUAUACAUAAUGCUUUUUAAAUAUUAUUUAAACUAUUAUUACAUUUCAUAUUGAUAAAAAUGUGAAUAUUUAUGUUUUUAAGAAUUGGCUUUUGGAAAAUUGGCUUUUACUGUAACAAAUUCACAGUUCUUAUAAAAAUAUUUUUCUUAUCUAUUUUUGAAUUUUGCUGUAUUGUCUAUUUUAAUAGACAAGUGAGAGGGAGUUCAUCAUCAGAAUGGCUAUUAAAGUAUGGUUAAUAUAUUAUUAUAUAAAUCAAUUUUAAUAUAACUUGCGUCUAUUUGACUAGAAAAAUCUUUAGUAGAGAGCAGGCCUACUUAGCACAAGGAAGCGCUCCAUUUUUAUGCUCCAUAAAAUGCAUAAUGACAUUACGAAAAGUGCGACAGCAGCAAAUCACGUCAUUGUACUGCAUGAGUUAUGCAUGCAUAAGGAGUCAAAUGUUUUUCACCCUAAUUAGAUUAUGAAGAAUGAUUUGUUGAUCAUGUUUUCCCUUUAAUUCAUGCCUUCCGCAAUAUAUUUUUCAAUUAGGCUACUUUAAAAAAGUGGUAGGGACAAUAUCGACCCUGGCAAAAAGUGGUGGGGACAUGUCCCACCUGUCCCACCCGCAUAUUAUGCCUAUGAUCGUUAGUAUUUAAUAAAUUACCAGU